AGCAUGAAGUAGCAAUACUUCGAUGACGACCGGCGCACGGGUGAGUAACACGUAUGCAACCUACCUUCCACAGGGGAAUAGCCCGGAGAAAUCCGGAUUAAUACCCCAUAACACAGGGAUACCGCAUGGUAAUAUUUGUUAAAGAUUAAUCGGUAGAAGAUGGGCAUGCGUUCCAUUAGCCAGUUGGUGAGGUAACGGCUCACCAAAGCAACGAUGGAUAGGGGAACUGAGAGGUUUAUCCCCCACACUGGAACUGAGACACGGUCCAGACUCCUACGGGAGGCAGCAGUGAGGAAUAUUGGUCAAUGGACGAGAGUCUGAACCAGCCAAGUCGCGUGAAGGAUGACUGCCCUACGGGUUGUAAACUUCUUUUGUAUGGGAGUAAAAAGAUGGACGUGUCCAUUAUUGCAAGUACCAUACGAAUAAGCAUCGGCUAACUCCGUGCCAGCAGCCGCGGUAAUACGGAGGAUGCAAGCGUUAUCCGGAUUUAUUGGGUUUAAAGGGUGCGUAGGCGGGACAAUAAGUCAGCGGUGAAAGUUUGAGGCUCAACCUUAAAAUUGCCGUUGAAACUGUCGUUCUUGAGUAUAUUUGAAGUAGGCGGAAUUCGUAGUGUAGCGGUGAAAUGCAUAGAUAUUACGAAGAACUCCA
rnacentral:rRNA from 1 species